rnacentral:ncRNA from 1 species
AAAGCCCCUGUCGGGUAAGGCCUAGCCCGCCGCCCGUAUCGAGUCUUGCGGCUGGGGCAGUGCUGGGUGAUCCUCGGCGAACAAUACAGGUGAAGCGUAGACAGAGAACAUUGUAGGCCAAAAGGGUGAUCGCGCACCCUGAAGCGCUGGUACAGCCUCGAAAUAUCCAUUGUGGUAGUUGGCGAGUGUGUUAAUGAACACGAAGCCAACAUGAAACUGUCGUAGUUAAGGCGAGACAGUGGAAGGCUACCGGGGUCCUCAGGCC